CCCUGGGGAACAGAGCAGGAGAGAAAAACCCAGACAGCACACAGGGCAACUGGCAGCCUCUGUGGCCCUUUUACACACCUGGGUUACGCCUCUACUCUUGGCCGGGUACAUUUUCUCAAGCGUCUUUUAGUUCCCCGGUUCUCAAAGUAGUCAUGGGACCAGCAGCAUCAGGACCAUCUGGGAACUGGUUAGAAAUUCAGACCCUCACCUGCCACCCCCUACCCUCAGUACUAUUGAAUCAGCACCUCUGGGUGGGGCCCAGCAAUUUCUGUUUUAAAAAAUCUGCCAAGCAAUUCCAAGGUGUGCUCAAGUUUGAGACCUUGGCUUUACUUGAGCUUCACCCAAAGUGGGAAGGGGACAGGCUUCCCUGGUGGCUCAGUGGUAAAGAAUCUGUCUGCCAACGCAGGAGACGUGAGUUCGAUCCUUGAUCUGGGAAGAUCCCACACACUUUGGAGCAACUAAGCCCGUGAUCCACAAUUAUUGAGCCUAUGCUCUAGAGCCCAGGAACUGCAACUACUUAAGCCUGAGUGCUCAGCAACAAGAGAAGCCUCCUCGAUGAGAAGAGCUUGCACCCCAACUAGAGAGGAGACCUGUUGACCACAACUAGAGAAAAGCCCACACAGCAGUGAAGACCCAGCACAGCCAAAUAUAUUAAGGCCCGCUGAGAUGUGUUCGAGCCUCACGCAGCAAUGGGACUUGGAUACGCCUGAAACCCUGGCGCUGGGAUGGCCCCGGCUCGGCGCGGAUGCAGCAUGAAGGCCGUCGGAGAGCAAGCGUUGGAAGCCUCCUGAGAUCUGGAACCACAGCCUAGCCCCUGAGGAGAGGCGAUGCGGGAUAUCUCCAGCGGAAAAGACGGGGAGCCCAGUAGACAGGGCGAGAGAGCUCCGCUUUUCAGAGGGUUGGUGAGACUCCUUCCUGGCCUCAGAAGGGACCUGGCUUGGAGACCACCACCAAGGGCCUUCCAGCUCUAACCACACGCUCCAUGAAAAGCCUGCCAUGUGACAACAGGUGCAGUGGAAGGGGCUGGAAUCUGACAGCCCUGGACUUGAAUUGGGUGUAAAUGACCUUUCCCUCCCUGAGCUUCAGUUUCCUCAUCUUUAGAAUGGGAGUAGUAAGCUCACUGAGGGCUUCCCUGGUGGCUCAGUAGUCAAGAAUCUGCCUUCCAGCAAACCUGAUCCAGUAUCCUUCUCUAGCAUUCCUCUAUGGAGACAGGAGACUUAGGGAUUAGAAAAAAAGAAAUCUGCCUUCCAAUGCAGGAGAAGCCAGUUGAAUCAUUAGGUCGGGAAGAUCCCCUGGAGAAGGGAAUGGCUACUCACUCCAGUGUUCUUGCCUGGAGAAUCCCAUGGACAGAAGAGCCUGGUGGGCUAUAGUCCGUGGGGUCUCAAAGAGUCAGACAUGACUUAGUGACUAAACAAUAACAACAAGCUUAUUACGUGGUGAUGGGAGUCAUGUCUUUAUUCGAUUGCCCAGUAAUGGACAGUCUUUCUUAGGCCCGAUCUGAGGCUGAGAAGGAAUCUGCUGAGUGCAAGUGCCAUUCCCGGCCCAGCGGCCCUGAGGGUUCUCCACGGCUAUCCCGGCCCACAGUGGACCAGCUCCCCUUACCUCCAGCUCACUUUCCUAGUCUGGCCUCCCAUUACCGCUGGGAGGCUCCAGAAACCUUUUCGAUGCCUUUCCUUUUUGCUUACGUUAGCCUGAACCAGUUUUGAUUGUUCACAACCAAGGGCCCCAAUUGACACAAGGCCCGUUGUCUUCCUUCGCUUCAGCCUCCCGAGCGUCUUUGACUGCAAGCACUGCUCGCCUCAUUUCCAGGAGCCUUUUCUAGUGCAUCGUGGUGCAAAUCCACUUCUCUACAGCCCUGCUCCUCCCUGUGGGCUCCCCUUCCUGCUUCUGUCCGCAGCACUCUCUCCUCCCUGAGCCUCCCAAUUUCUAAACCAUCUGCGUGUAAUCCUAGGGUACUCACCCACGCCAGUGCCAUCCAAACAGUUGACAACCUGUGUAAUCCUCUUAAAUCCAUUCCCUCUGUAUCAGUCUGCAGGGGCUGCCAAAACAAAGUAUCACAG
ensembl:lncRNA